rnacentral:lncRNA from 1 species
CUGACUUGAAUUCUUUUACCCACCAAUUCACGCACCGAAGCAGGAAAGAGUGGGGAUACGAUGAUAAAGGCGGCCUGGUGGGGAAGAAAAGUCCAGAAAUUGAAAGAAAAGAAUUGCGGCUGCCAUAUAUUUAUAAAUUCCGUACAACAUUGGACGGUGACGUGGAGAGAAAAGCCAGCUGCUGGUGAUAUAUAUUGAUACAAAGGCAGCCACUUAGAUUUCAUAUACAAGGAAUUGGGAGGCGGUUGAGUCAAAAGUAAGGAGAUUGGGC